UGCUGCUGGAUCAUUACA
rnacentral:rRNA from 4 species